AUACGUAGGUGGCAAGCGUUGUCCGGAUUUAUUGGGCGUAAAGCGAGCGCAGGCGGAAAGAUAAGUCAGAUGUGAAAGCCCUCGGCUUAACCGAGGAAUAGCAUCGGAAACUGUCUUUCUUGAGUGCAGAAGAGGAGAGUGGAACUCCAUGUGUAGCGGUGGAAUGCGUAGAUAUAUGGAAGAACACCAGUGGCGAAGGCGGCUCUCUGGUCUGUAACUGACGCUGAGGCUCGAAAGCAUGGGUAGCGAACAGGAUUAGAUACCCUGGUAGUCCAUGCUGUAAACGAUGAGUGCUAAGUGUUGGGAGGUUUCCGCCUCUCAGUGCUGCAGCUAACGCAUUAAGCACUCCGCCUGGGGAGUACGACCGCAAGGUCAAAACUCAAAGGAAUUGGCGGGG
rnacentral:rRNA from 1 species